rnacentral:rRNA from 1 species
AGUGAACGCUGGCGGUAGGCCUAACACAUGCAAGUCGAACGCCAGCACAGAGGAGCUUGCUCCUUGGGUGGCGAGUGGCGGACGGGUGAGGAAUACAUCGGAAUCUACUCUGUCGUGGGGGAUAACGUAGGGAAACUUACGCUAAUACCGCAUACGACCUACGGGUGAAAGCAGGGGAUCUUCGGACCUUGCGCGAUUGAAUGAGCCGCUGUCGGAUUAGCUAGUUGGCGGGGUAAAGGCCACCAAGGCGACGAUCCGUAGCUGGUCUGAGAGGAUGAUCAGCCACACUGGAACUGAGACACGGUCCAGACUCCUACGGGAGGCAGCAGUGGGGAAUAUUGGACAAUGGGCGCAAGCCUGAUCCAGCCAUACCGCGUGGGUGAAGAAGGCCUUCGGGUUGUAAAGCCCUUUUGUUGGGAAAGAAAUCCAUCUGGUUAAUACCCGGGUGGGAUGACGGUACCCAAAGAAUAAGCACCGGCUAACUUCGUGCCAGCAGCAGCCGCAG